rnacentral:piRNA from 1 species
UUGGGAACCACACGUAAAAAUUCCAGUGG